GACAAGAUAGUUUAAUUUAAAAUAUCUAUUUUACACGUAGGAGAUGGCGGUUUGCCUAUUGUUA
rnacentral:tRNA from 1 species